rnacentral:lncRNA from 1 species
UAUAUAAAAAAAAAAAAAAAGACAACAAAACAGCAUUUAUUUCUAAGAUAAGACAUAAUUGAAAGUAUUACUUGAAUUAUCAAAGUCCGUAUUCCCUAACAUAAACAUUAAAACUUGAAAACUUAACUAAAUUUUAAAAUUCAAUAUACAACAAAACAAAAUAAACAACUGCUUCAAUAAAAUAAAAGCAUAACUAAUACUGAGAUCAAAUGUCCUGAAACAAUGAGCUGCGUUGGAUAGAAAUUGAUCUUUUGCAAAUGCAUGUAUAUGUGUAUGUGUACAUGUAAACAUAAACUUACAAAUGUACAUGUAUAAAUUGAUCAGAAUUUUGGUCUUAAAACAACUAACUUUUCAUAAAGAUUUUUUCAACCUGAAAUAGGUUAACAGAUGUAUUGAUAUUCAUUUGCAAAAGGUCUAUUUCUAUACAACACAGCUCAGAUAUAAUAAUACACUUUUUAUAAAUAAUAAUAAUAUCUGGUCAAAGAAACCUUUUACACUCUUAUACAUUUGUACCCUGUCAGGCACAUUUUUAAUAUUCACCAAACUUGGAUGUUAAACUUAAUUAAUACAAGUAAGUGAAAACUUAAAUCCAUAAGAAAAAGCUACUUUUUGUUAAUUCAAUUAUUCUCUCCCAGAUGUUUCUAUAAUGUGAACACCACGUUCUAUAUUUUAGUAUGUUUGAUCCGAAAUAUGAUAUAAAACGUAAUCGAAAUCAAUAAAGUUAAAAUGUACAUGAAGUUAACCUAUUUUUUUGUGAGAAGUUUUCAUAAUUACCUCACUGAAUUCUUGUACAAAGUAAAAUUAGUAAUAACAUAUGAAAGCUUAACUUGGAUGUAAAAAUGAAAAUCUCUAUAUAAAGCCCUAAAUUUGCCCCUAUUUCUAGCAACAAUUUCAAAUUUCUUUUUAAGAUUUAUUGACCAAUAUCACGAUGAAUCAAAGCUAAUAUAAUAAUUUUAUAUGAAAUAUAUUUUUUUGGCUGAAAAAUGUGCAUACUAGUAUUCUAUUCAUGAAGUCACAAUAAGCACUCCAACUGAUUUUCAAAGAAAAUUCAAUGAAAACAUGUAAAUUUGCAUUAGACAGGAAAACAUGGGGCACAUGCCUCGACAGGAAAACAUGAGACACAUGCCUCGACAGGAAAACAUGGGGCACAUGCCUCGACAGGAAAACAUGGGGCACAUGCCUCGACAGGAAAACAUGGGACACAUGCCUCGACAGGAAAACAUGGGGCACAUUACUCGAUAGGAAAACAUGGGGCACAUGCCUCAACAGGGGAACAUGGGGCACAUGCCUCGACAGGAAAACAUGGGGCACAAGCCUCGACAAAACAGAUCUGUGGACAUUGUUAUAACAUUUAUAUCUAGCAUGCACAAUAAAAUUGUCCAUCUCUGUGCUCUGUAUUCUAGUUCUAAACUUGGUUGAAAUCUUGAUUAUUUUGUCAAAUUUUGCAACGAUCCCUAUUAUUGCUCUACUUUGGAUGUAAAUAUCAACACUAUAAAUUAAACUUCAUUAAAAAUGGUUCUGUUCAACUUUCUUAUGUCUUUUUUCCAAUUUGAAACAUCUUUUGUCUUGAAAUAUUGAACUUAAUGAUAAAUAUGGCCCUUACCAAACUUACUUUGUAGUACAAGUAAAGCAAAAUUGUUAACCAGUCCCUAAUAUCAUGUAAUAUGGGUCAAGUGACCUUUACCUUGGGCUAAUGACCAGUUUGUCCAAAAUGCAUAUAUGAAUCAAAUUAUAUUACAAAUAGGAAAUGGUAUUAUUUCCAAUUAGACAACUUUCCAAUAAAGACAAAAUGUCAUAGAUGUUAGUAAUUAUAAUAACAAGCUAUAAAAGGUCAGAUAUGACAAAUGUUAAACAAUUCAAGUAAAUGAUUUAUUUAAAUAAUUUGAUAUAACGCAACAAAUAACAACUACUGAAUUACAGGCUUUGGACUUGGAACAAGCAUAUAGAAAAUAAGGAAGGGCCUGUGGGUGCCCCCCUUUAAACCUAGGACAGUGAUGUAAUGACACACCAUUAGAACACACUUUAAAAGGUUUUAUUUCUUGUAGUUUCUAAUAUCUGGCUGUGGACACAGAAGUACCCCUGAAAAGUCUAAUUACCCCUCAACUUGAUCUUUGCUGAACAAAGUAAUAAAUUGUUGUGACCUAAAAUGUAACAAUUUUUCAAUGAUUUUUGACAAGUAAAAACAACAAAAUUAAAGCUAUAUUCACAAUGUUAGUCUUCAAAUGACAAACUACCACAUGAUCAUCAAAACUAAAAUAUGAUUACACAUUAGUCCAUUUUUGGAAGCAAAAUUAUCUCACUCUAAUACAACAACACAGCUAAAUAUCAUUUCAAAUUCAUGAUUUCUAAUAGUUAAUCACAUGAUACUUGAAAUUUUAAUAAAACAAACUACUGUAAAUUCAGAAAUUAUUGCAAUGUUUGUAUUAUUGCCAAAAAUGUGACAGGGUUAUAAUUGCAAUAAUUUAAACUCCCAUUUUGAAUUUUU